rnacentral:lncRNA from 1 species
UAAAGCCAGGUGCGUCUCAUAUGUGCGCCAAAGAAGAACAUCACAUAUAAUGACAAAGUGUCUAGAGAUAAAUGUCACAGAUAUCAUAAAUGUCAUUAUUACAUAGCGGAAGUCUUACAAAAAUAAAUGAUAAUAAUAAAGCGAACUAAGUAUUAUUCCUUGGCGCCACAAAGCUGACUGUGAGACGCCACCUAGAUGAGCUUGUACUCUUCAUUGUAAGGCUCCUCCUGGACCACAUGUUCUUCUCCUGUGGGGGUUAUAUAUCGCAAGGGUGAGCUCACAAAAGAUCAUAGUUCAACAAGUUGUGGGGAAUAAUGUGCAUGAACUCACCAAAGGUGGGAGUUCAUGUGAAGUGUAAGGCUGAUCAACAAAUAAGGGGUAAAGCUGAGCAUUGCUUUUAAUAUGUUGGUCAAGUUUUAUUAGCAGUUACUAAAUGUAAGUAGAUACCAAACCAGCGUAAUAGUAUAUUAAAAUUAUCAAUAAAUACCAUGCAAUGCAAAUGACAAAUUGAAUUGAGUUCCAUAAAUUAAUCAUGCCAGAGUCUUGAGCUGCUCAUGACCGCGAGCAUGGUCAGUAUACCAGUUUUACACUCUGCAGAGGUUGUACCCAGUACCCACAAGUCGUGUAUCCCAUGUCGCUAGGGUUAGUUAGACCCUUAGAAAUCUCUCCCUAGCUUUCCUAAUUACUUGGCCAAGGACGUCCCAUUACACCCUUGUGGUAGCACUGUUUUCCCGGAUGGUUCUCCAUGUUCCAAUUAACAAUAUGAUCUUAUCAUAAACAAUAAUUAAACAACAACAUAAUUGGAACAUGGUCAUAAUAAAGUAUUAGUGAUCUAGGGCACAACUUGCCUGUGACUCAAGAUUCCAAGUACCAACUUGUUCUUCAAGUGACUCGUGACCUCGCUGCUAGUCAUAGCAAUACAAACAAACAUGGCAUAGGCAAAUAUUAACAUCACACCAAACAUGAGAACAAACAACGUAAAAAUAUUCUACGCGAUGUUAUGGGAGCGCAGGCUCGAGAACUACUAAAAUCGGAGUCAGGAUUGAAAGGAUAUGGUUUUUGGAAGACUCGUGUGAUUAAGCAAUAGAACUAUUAUUAUAAACCACGUGGGAAUAAUAUUCUAAAUAAGUGACUAGUUUACCCUUAAUCUAAGUUAUAACUUAAUUAGAAAUCACAUUCUAGUCAACUUGUAAUUAUAGAUAUAUUAAUUUUGAUUUAAAAAGGUUAACCUACUAGCAUUGGUUCAACAAGUACCUAUUUUUGAAAAUAUGUUACUUGGUAAAAUAACGCUGCUAUAGCAUAGGCAAUGAUAUUGUGAAGUUAACGCAAUUUGAACGGGUCAAAUCGGAGUUAAAACGUGCAACUUAUAAAUUUUCUAAGGCUCCUAGAUUUAUUUUUUACUAGAAAUUCAAUUUCAGAAUUAAUUCUACUAAUAUAUUAAGAACUAGGGACCGCGGCCCCCAAUACCCGAGAACACAAGGUCUAAACCGAGAAAAACAUGACCUGUUAGUAGUAAUUUUAUACUUUUGGUGGACGUCGGGUUCAUUACUGCGAACCCGAGGGGCUCUUUUGCAAAAGACCACGACCGAAGAGGUAUCACGUUACUACAAUCGUCCGAUCGAAAUCUGAUGGUCCAGAUUAGACCCAGCCCACCACGAACCGAUAUGCGCUCACUGACCGUUGAUGGGCAGAUCGACGGACGAGAUUUAAUUACCUGAGAUCCGAUCGUGCCCCUCGGAUCCAGAUCUAACGCCCCAGGUGUAAUGCACUGAAGCGGUAUACCUAAUCUAAUCCAUGCCAUUGGCGUAAGAUCCAACGGUUGAUCUACGACUAAGAUUGAUAACGCGAAUAAGUACGCUACUUUUAACCCGAGCCGACCAUCAAGGGAUGAACGGCUCCCUGCUUUCUUCACCCAGGGCCAAGCACGACGGAGCCGCCCAGAAUUCCGGUGAGCUCACGCGGCCGCAAGGUGAUUCUCCGCCCAAGUAUGCAGUAUCCCACCCAGACCGGCGUUACACGAUGCAGGGAGGAAGGCGAGUCGAUCUGGAGGAUUCUCACAUGCGUUUACACUGAGUAGACCCCUGGCCACGACGGAGAUGCGGCCCGACGGUGGAGGAUCGAGUCCGGCGAGCAAUUCUGGGCUGACCAGAACGUAGUCUGCCCAAGCAAAGUCACGGUCGUGACCCGUGAGACUUGGUGAAGCCCCAGACCCAAAAUCGAGGCCCUGACAAUGGUGAGACUGUGGAUCUACGUCGGCGGCGCUCUCUCCCUCCCACGAUGGUGUGAGGCAGGAUUUACAAGGGUGGAGCUGUGGGUCCGAGGUCGGUAGGAUCGGGCG